rnacentral:rRNA from 1 species
CCUACGGGAGGCUGCAGUGAGGAAUAUUGGUCACUGGACGAGAGUCUGAACCAGCCAAGUAGCGUGAAGGAUGACUGCCCUAUGGGUUGUAAACUUCUUUUAUAAAGGAAUAAAACGAGGCACGUGUGCCUUUUUGCAUGUACUUUAUGAAUAAGGAUCGGCUAACUCCGUGCCAGCAGCCGCGGUAAUACGGAGGAUACGAGCGUUAUCCGGAUUUAUUUGGUUUAAAGGGAGCGUAGAUGGGUUGUUAAGUCAGUUGUGAAAGUUUGCGGCUCAACCGUAAAAUUGCAAUUGAUACUGGCAGUCUUGAGUACAGUUGAGGUAGGCGGAAUUCGGGGUGUAGCGGUGAAAUGCUUAGAUAUCACGAAGAACCCCGAUUGAGAAGGCAGCUUACUAAACUGUGACUGACAUUGAUGCUCGAAAGUGUGGGUAUCAAACAGGAUUAGAUACCCGAGUAGUC